rnacentral:rRNA from 1 species
GAUGAACGCUGGCGGCGUGCCUAAUACAUGCAAGUCGAGCGAACGGACGAGAAGCUUGCUUUUCUGAUGUUAGCGGCGGACGGGUGAGUAACACGUGGAUAACCUACCUAUAAGACUGGGAUAACUUCGGGAAACCGGAGCUAAUACCGGAUAAUAUUUUGAACCGCAUGGUUCAAAAGUGAAAGACGGUCUUGCUGUCACUUAUAGAUGGAUCCGCGCUGCAUUAGCUAGUUGGUAAGGUAACGGCUUACCAAGGCAACGAUGCAUAGCCGACCUGAGAGGGUGAUCGGAUACCCUGGAACAGAGACACGGUAGAGACUCCUACGGGAGGCAGCAGUAGGGAAUCUUCCGGGAUGGGCGAAAGCCUGACGGAGCAACGCCGCGUGAGUGAUGAAGGUCUUCGGAUCGUAAAGCUCUGUUAUUAGGGAAGAACAUAUGUGUAAGUAACUGUGCACAUCUUGACGGUACCUAAUCAGAAAGCCACGGCUAACUACGUG